AGCUUCGUGGAGCAGUGGAGUGCUCGUCAGUCUGUCACACUGAAGAUCGCGGGUUCGAUCCCCGUCGAAGCUGCCA
rnacentral:tRNA from 1 species